GCGACAUUCGCGGAGGCAUGCGAGGGAGUCGUGCGGCGCGUCCUAAGGUUUCUGCCUCACUUGCCGAAAACAUCUUGUGGGCCAACUGGGCCAAUUUCUACUGUUUGGGCUAAGCUAUAGGGCCAAUUGGGUUAUUUGUAAAAAUGGACUGUUUAUUGUAUUUGUUAUUUUAAGGUUUAUACAUUUGGGCCCGGGCUAAAAUGGCCUAUUACAGCUGCCCCUCUUUGCUCGUUGUCGUGUAACGGGAACAGAGCAAAGACUUUAAGAUGGCCAAUUUUGCCCGGGCAUACUGGACCUUAGCGCUCUUCAAGUAGCCUCAUUCCAACCUACUGCGUCUGUAGAGGUAUAAGAAUCGGUGCUUCAAUCCACUCCACUGCAACAUCAAGGAGAUAGGACUUGUACCUUGUAGCUUCUCAAAAGAACAAAACUUGUAAUCUCUAGUCUGCUCCACCGUAAUUUCAGGGAGAUAAGACUCGUAGCUUCAACUUAUUCUGCUGCAACUUCAAAGAUGAGUCUGAUACUAUCUGCUUUACUGCAAUUUCAGAAAGGUAAGAUCCGUGGUGUUAAUCCGCUCCACUGCAUCUUCAGGGGGAUAGGAUUAUCUUAUUCAAUUUAUCCAAUUACAAUGUCGAGGAAACAAUAUCCGCCAUCGUAGCUUCAACCUGUUCAACUGCACCGCUAAAGAAAUAAGAUCCACCGUUGUGGCUUCAAUCUUUUUAAUUGUGCUGUCGGGGAAAUCAGAUCCGUUGUUGUGACUUUAAUCUUUUUAAUUGCGCUGUCGGGGAAACUAGAUCCGCCGUUGUGACUUCAAUCUGCUCCACUGCACUGCCAGGGAAGUAAGAUCUACCGUUGUGGCUUCAAUCCUUUUAAUUACGCUGUCGGGGAAACUAGAUCCGUUGUCGUGACUUCAAUCUGCUCCACUACACCGCCAGAGAAGUAAGAUCUACCGUUGUGGCUUCAAUCUUUUAAAUUGCGCUGUCGGGGAAACCAGAUCCGUUGUUGUGACUUCAAUCUGCUCCACUACACCGCCAGAGAAGUAAGAUCUGCCGUUGUGGCUUCAAUCUUUUAAAUUGCGCUGUUGGGGAAACCAGAUCCGCCGUUGUGACUUCAAUCUGCUCCACUGCACCGCCAGGGAAGUAAGAUCUGCCGUUGUGGCUUCAAUCCUUUUAAAUUGUGCUGUCGAGGAAACCAGAUCUGCCGAUGUGACUUCAAUCUGCUCCACUACACCGCCAGGGAAGUAAGAUCCGCCGUUGUGGCUUCAAUCUUUUUAAUUACACUGUCGAGGAAACCAGAUCCGCCGUUGUGACUUCAAUCUGCUCCACUGCACCGCCAGGGAAGUAAGAUUCAUCGUUGUGGCUUCAAUCUUUUUAAUUGCGCUGUCAGGGAAACCAGAUCCGUCGUUGUGACUUCAAUUUGCUCCGCUGCACCGCCAGGGAAGUAAGAUCUGCCGUUGUGGCUUCAAUCUUUUAAUUGUGCUGUCGGGGAAACCAGAUCCGCCAUUGUGACUUCAAUCUGCUUCGCUACAACGCUAAGGAAAUAAAAAUCUACUAUUUUCAACCUACUCUACUGCUGCUCAAGGAGAUAAGGCUGAAGCUUUAUCAGUUUGGUUUUCUAGGGAACAUGGCCUGUAAAAUUCAAGUUAUGAACCUAAUUAUGCCUAGUGAUUAGGAUGUCAUGAUCAAAAUGAAUCAAAUGCUCCUAACUAGACGUGUAUGAAUGACAUUUGAAUGAGUAUGUCAUUUUUUCGAGAAUGAUCCCACUAAGGUUAUUAUUACUCAAAAUUUAUUGAAACCGUAUUACUAACACACUACAACGUCCUCUUGCUCGGUUAGCAUCUUCAAAAAACACUCAAUCAAAUUACCCCCCACUAUGAACUUUAAAGUUCAAUCUACUGGGAUGCAACAUUGGUACCAUCUUUCUCCCGCUGUAACCCAAUGGUAGGAAAAAAAUCUGGCCUCUCAAUCUUCUCUUAUCGCAAGGUGAAGCAUUUUGGUCCUUUAUACCGUUCUCAAGGUAUCAUACCAAAUGCCUAUGCACAAAUGAAGGAUUUUUUUCUCCGAGGAAACCUCUUCUUAUUGCAAGGUGAUCAUUGCUUGCUUGUUCAUUGACGCUUUGUCACCAACACGACAUCUUGUCACUUUAUUCAAUCAAUAUUUUGACAACAAAAUCUGAAGGGAUAAUCUCAAUUUAGACCUUUCCUUCCCAGAUAUUUCAACCUUUAAACUUGGUGCGUUCUAAACAAUAGUCUUGUUUCAGGUUACUGUAUUAUUUAGAAACUUCUAGAGUAAUAUGCAAAACCUCCCUUGUGAAAGUUUUAUUAGUCCAUUGAUCAUUAUUCUAAUGCAACACAUUUGCAAAAAGAACAAAAUAAAAGAUAAAAUAGAAUUGGUUUGAGAACAUAGCUUGAAAUGAACAUAUUAUCAAGAAUAUUAAGAAUACAAGAAGAAUUGACUCGUAUCUUGAAAAAGAAUGAAGUAUUCCAAGAACAGGCAAUUCAAUAUAAAUAGUAUGAAGACUAGGUGCCCCAGAUAUCGCAGCUUGAACUUCUCUGUACAAACUUCCUGAAGACCAUUCUAAGUUUAACAUGUGCUCAGGAGAUCUACAAUACUCUGUCGAUGUUCUAAGAUGUCGCGUACCCUUUCCUACUGAUUCAGGCAUAGCAAGAUCACCAUAUGCCCCAAUUUGAUCAAAAUUUGAACUGCUCUGAUUACCUCAUGCCCCAAUCUUAUCAAAAUUUGAGCCGCCCUUUUCGGGUUUUCAACUCAAAUCCCCUUUGGUCUAAGGUGCUCUUUGCGAGUUUUCACCCUAGCCUCUCCAUUUUUACUUUUUCCAUUUUUCAUUUUUCUAUUUUUAUUUUUUCACAUCUUUUUCUCUUCUUUCUCUCUUUUUUUUUUCCAACUCAAAGUGCCAUUUGUAGGUUUUUACAUUGGUCCUCUCCUUCUUUAAGCAAAGUAUUUCUUGACUGAUUCUAAGUUUACAGGAUUAGACAAGUUUUUACUAUACAUCUCACUCAAGAUCAGUGCUCCUCCAGAAAAGGUCUUCUUUACAACAUAAGGACAGUCCCAACUUAGCAUUCAUUUUCUCUAAAAUAUUUUUGUAAAGGAAGGAUAUUCUUCAAUACCAGGUCUCCCUCGUGAAAUUCUCUAGGAUGAACCCUUUUUUGUUGCAAGCUCGCAUCAUCCGUUUUUGGUACAUCUAGCCAUGACGAAUAGCUUUUAACCUAUUUCCUUCAAUUAAGUUCAACUGAUCGUAUCGAGAUUGGAUCCUCAUCCUACUUCAGCUCAGCCAAUACCCUAAGAGAAAGAAUUUUAACUUCAAUGGAAAAACUGUGAUAAGCUAAAGAGAAAGACAUUGCCUUAGUAGAGGUUUUUUUUGUUCUUUUUUCUUCUUCUUUGAUUUUUUUUUGCAUUGAAUCUGCACUCAUAGGAUUAGGCAAGUCCUGAUCAUCCUUUUCGAUCAGAAUCAAUAUUAUUCCAGAUAAGGUCUUCCCCAUAAGAUCUUCCACUUUUAUUUUGUAUGCGAAAGAUCUUCUUUGGUAUCAGGUUUCUCUCAUAGAGCCUUUUGGGCUAAAAUUUAACUAUGACAAGAAAAUUUUAGAUCUUCCUCUUCAAUUAGGAUGAAAUCCAACAAAAAUACAGAAAAAUGACAACUUGACUUCAACGGGCAAAACUGUGAUGAGCCAAAGAAGAAGGCAUUGCCCCGGCAAAGAAUUCUAACUGCAUCGUUCAUAAUGUUAAUCCUGAACAUACUGCAAAUUUUUGACGUCGUGCUAUUGCUUAGAUUACAAUAUCAGUGCUUAACCCGAGCAUGUCCUGGUAUGACCAUGUGAAGACAUAUUUGAACCCUUAAAGUAACUCAACAAGGUCUUGUUUUGUUUCUCCAGUCAUGUAUGUUCCCUUAAAGUCACAGUCUCCAUCGUCUCCUUAGGAGGUAAAAUUUGUUCCUCUUCCUGUUCUACCAUCCUCAACAAGUCCGGAGAUAAGCUACAAUCUAUGUCAUUUUCAAAGUCAUGAAAUCCCUCUAAACACAUGCCUCACUCAAAAGGAAAUUCUGAGUCUGUAGCAGUGUCAUUCAUGUCAUUGAUAUCUGGGGGCCCAUAAUAAAUACCAAAGAAUAUACAAAAGAAUGUAUAAAUUUAUUAAGAACUAUCUGUACAAUAUGAUUAUGAAUGAAUGAAUGAUGUGGAAGAAAAUCCAAAGGAAUGAAAGAAUAACUAUUCAGACAGACUGAAAGAAUACUGGUUCAAAAAUGAUCACAAUAAUGCAUUUCAUUAAAAUAACGACAUUCAGACAUGAGCCUAUUUCACAAAAGAAUUCUUAUUGCCUCUAAGCUAAAAGCAAUAAGUGCGUUUUGAACAUUACUCUAAGCAAGCUCUAAAUACUAUAGAGAUUUCUUCUACAAUCUGAUUAUUUAGGACACUCUCAAGUUUAUAAGGAUAGAUAUCUAAUAAGGUCCAUUUUCAAUUGUGUCUUUAUAUAUGGCAUUGAUGUGAACACCUCUCAACACUUCCUCAUACAUCACAUUCACCCCAUUAUCAGUCAUGAUUGGGUAGCGGAUUUUCUGCACUGGAUGAAUCAUCAAAUUUGACAACGCCUAUGUUGAUGAGCCUUUCAACCAAUUUCUUGAAAGCGGUGCAAUUUUCUAUCGAAUGCCCCGUAAUUCCUGCAUGGUAUUCACACUGAGCAUUUGUAUUAUACCAUUUAGGAAAUGGGGGCAACAUUGGUUUCAAAUAGAAGGGGGACACGACAUGUGCAUUAAAUAGGUUUUGAUAUAGCUCGCUAUAUGACAUCGGUAUAGGCGUAAACUGAGGCCCUUCUGCAUUUGACUUCAUGUAAGAUUCUUGCUUUAAAGGGCUCUGACAGCUAGUGAUUUCUGUCUUUGGUCGGCCCACAGUGAUUGGUUUUGAGUGACCCUUUUUAUAUCUACCUACAUUAUCCCCAUUAUUCCCCUUCUUCCUUGGGGCCUUUAAAGUAUUGAUUUGAGAGUUCCACUCUCGCUCUUUCCGUUUGUAACGAUCUUCAAACUGUUUUGGGAACUCCACCCUCGCCUGUUCUGUUUCUGCUUGAUCAUCAAUGACAACAGGAUUAGUUAAAUUGCCCACCGAGUUGGAACCUGAGCCAGUCUGGAAAUUCACCGGUGUCGAGGUGCUGGUCUGAUAUUGGGGACGGAUGUUAACAAUUACCCUUUGUGGAUAUGCAUUUGGUUGUGCUUGGGUAUUUGCUGGGUUGAAGCCUGAAGGAUAUGUAAGGUCCUUAUUAUUAUCCCCAAAGUGGACCACUAGGGUCUUUCCUCUUUCUAACCCUUUAGCCAAUAACUGGGUUAGCUGGCACAUUAUAUUUCUUUGGAAUUCUAACAACUGAUCUCUCAUAUCUUGGUGAAAUUUGGUCAAUUGCUCCUACAUUUACAUUUGCAUUUGUUCUAAUUUCUCCAACCUUUGGUCCAUUUCUCUAAUCUUUGCUUGGAUGCCGUGAGGAUGUUGGUUUUCCAAAUUAACUGAAAUAAUUUUACUCAAUUAGGCUUUUUUGGUGGAUUUUAGUGCAUAUGAUGCAAUGUAAUACAAAUGCAUGAGAUGAAUGCAGAAAGAGACGUUGAUUCUAAUUCAAUUCUAUUUAGAAAACUUUACUAGAAGACAAACUUCUUUACAUAAAACGGAUGCAUGUACGGCCUCGCCCUCAUACUCCAAGAAACAUCGACCUCUUACUUCAUCUGGAUGUUUAAGAUAAGUAUCGCAGAUUUUUAAUGAACACCACUACUAGCUCCUUUUUGCUUGCUCUUGGUUAUAAUCCAACGUCUGCCCAUCCCCGUAAGGCUUAUCAGCUUCUUUAAGGAAGUUGGAAUGUCGACAGCUCUCGAAUAAUCAGCUUGAAUCCUCGGGUCACGAAGUAAAGUCAUGAACUCUUCCAUCGCCCUUCUCGUGUUUCUCGGGAUAUAUUCGGGCAACUGUAUUAUCUUCCAUUUUAUCAAGAAAUCUGUAUUCCAUGCCAAGCUUUCUAAGUUAGUAAUCGAACUUGAAUCAACAUCUCUUUUCUAAGAUGCAAAUGCAAUGCAAUCAUAAUCAAAACAAAACAAAAUGGGUUAGUACAAAACAAAAACGAACAAGAAAAUAAAUAGAGUACCUACUCGGGUGACCUCUAGGAGUUUGGCAUAGUUCUACCUAAGGCAAGUUCCUAAGGUUCACUAUAUGAAGUUUGGUUUCUAGGGCAAGGGUACCUGAACCAGCAGAUUCCUCGAUUCUCACCCAUUAUAGGCUCAUAUAGACCGAGUUCGGUUCAGGGGAAUACAUUUCCCUAUGGCUACACGGAGAUAAAAAUCUCACGAAGACAUAGGUACGGAUGUAUCCCGAAAGCGAUCCACUACCCUGCACGGAGGUCAAAACCUCACGAAGGACUAGCUUCUCACUCCCACUUAGUAGGGUAAAAUUGACUAUGAAAUGCAAAAAUGCAAAUAAACUAACGGACUUAGAUCAAUCAAGCAAGCAUAUGAUAAAACCAAUGAAUGCAAAGGGGAAAAUCAUGAUUUAAAACAACUUUAAUUUUCGAUAAAAAGACACAAAAUAAUCAAUUUAUGACUCGACUCUCUAAGAGUCCCCAGUGGAGUCGCCAAGCUGUCGAAACCAUUUUUUGAAAAUAAAAAAUAAGUUAUCGACUUUAAAAACAAAAAUUGGAAUCGCCACCGAUCCUUUAUUAAGGUGUGAUCGGCUCACCAUAAAAAUAAUUCUGGUCUGCAAAAUUUGAGAAAACAGGUUCGGGAGUCAAUUACGCACGAGGAAGGGUUAGCACCCUCGUAACGCCCAAAAAUCGGUACCAAAUUUGAUUAUUUUAUGUCUUGAUGUCGAAAAUUUGAAAAGAGUUUAAAUAAAAAUUUUUAACUCGAGGAUGAAUUAAAAAGAUAAACAUUCCUAUUUCAAAGAAAUAAAAUAUCACACCCAGUUAGUUAGGGCACAAUAUCUUUAAAUCUUUAAAAUUAAGUUUGUCUUUUGAUUUUAAAACUCACACAAUUAAAUCUAAAAGGGUAUUCGAUUAUUUAGAUCAAAUAAAGAAAAAUCCAAACCCAGUAAAUUAGGGCACAAUUUCUCAGAAUUUCAAAUACCGAAUAGCACCUUUCGUUUUAGAAAUUCUUAUUUCGAGAUGACGAAAUGUCACGACCAAUAAGUUAGGACCCGACAUUUUUUAUUCCCGAGAAUAAGCUUUUAUUUGAAAAUUGCGAAUUUAUUGUAAAAUAAAUACUUAGCUUUCUAAAUUCAUCGAAAAAUGAUCACGAUCCAGUAAGUUAGGGCACGAUCUUUUCUCGAGAAUCAUGAUUGCCAAAUAUUUAAAUUUUAAAAAAAAUGAUUUUAAUACUUUGAUGUAACCAAUAUAUAUAUUUUCUUUAAAAACAUGAUAAAAUGCUCGUGCAUAUAUACGUAUACAAAAAUCACGAAAAUGAAUCAAUAAUAAAAUAUACAUGCAUUUUAAAAAUAAUAAACAUAAAAAUGUAUAAACAUAAUAUAUUAGCAAAUUAUGAAAAUAUGAAAAAAUAUAUAUAUAUAUAUAUAUAUAUAUAAUGCGAAAAAUAUUUUUAUUAUAACUUUGAAUAGUGUAUAAAUAUGUACAUUAUAAAAGAAAUAUAUAUAGAGAAUUAAAAAAGGAAAAAAAUGAAAAAUGAUAUAAAAUUCAUAAAACAUAUGUAUAUGUACGAAUGCAUAUAAAACUAAGAAAAAUAUAGUAAUAAUAAAAUAUACAAGACACGUUUUUAUAUUUUAAAACCAUUUAAGAUAUGUACAUAUAUAUAUUAACAUACAUAUGCGUAUAUAUAUAUAUAUAUAAAAGUAUAAUAAUAUUAAUAUGUAAUAUAAUAAUAAAUAAUACUAAUAAUAAUACAGUAAUAAUAACAAUAAUAAUAAUUAAUAUAAUAAAAUUAAUGAUAUAAAAGAAAUUAAAAAAAACAACAGAUUAAUGACUAACUUGAAAACAAACGAAAUUUUAAAGCCAAAUUUAAAAAUAGAAAACACAAAAAGGGACCGGAUUAAAAUACGCACAACAGGAGGAGGACCGAAACUGAAAAUUAUCCAAAUCGCCCAAGCAUUGCGCAGCAACAUGGAUUGAAUUAAAACAGUUUCAAUAUUUCCUGGAAAAACUUGAAAACAAAAAAAAACAUGGUUUUUGAAAUGAUUGAAAAAGUGAAAAGGAUUAAAAGCAUAAAUAGCCCAUUAAUGCAAGGCUACUUCUAACCCUAAUCCCAUUCUAAUCCAUUAUCAAUCAUAGCAGCCGCAAAAGAAGGCAAAAGAGAGGAAAAUAAAAACUGCUCAAUCCUCUCCUUUAUUUCUCAUGCCGGUAUUCUCCUCCCUUUUCAACUCCGACUGAAGCGCAACAAGGGCACCGACGACGCGCCACCGCUUGUAAGAGCCUCCUCUAUUUCUUCUUUUUUCCGUUUCUUUAGUUUAUUUUUUACAAAAAAAACAACAGAAAAAUGAAAACAAAAAACAGUAAAAAGGAAAAAAAAAUGGAGAAAUCACCUUCAAAAUUUGCUUUUUUCUUUCUGUCUUUAAUUUCAGUAUAAAAAUUUGCUAAAAACCCCGUUACAGCAAUCUUUUUCUUCCUUUUUUCUCUCCCCCUUCUUUUUUUGUUGUCCCUCCUCUUAGUACUGUUCCUAGUUUAUUUGCUGCCACUAUGUGAAAAAAAAAACUGCCCAUUGUGCUGAUCGUGACCUCUUUCAGAAACGCUAGAGGAGACGUGUAUAACAUGUGAGGCUACUGAACGCGAGAGAAGCGACGUGGGGCGACAUUCGCGGAGGCAUGCGAGGGAGUCGUGUGGCGCGUCCUAAGGUUUCUGCCUCACUUGCCGAAAACAUCUUGUGGGCUAAUUGGGCCAAUUUCUACUGUUUGGGCUAAGCUAUAGGGCCGAUUGGGUUAUUUGUAAAAAUGGACUGUUUAUUGUAUUUGUUAUUUUAAGGUUUAUACAUUUGGGCCCGGGCUAAAAUGGCCUAUUACAAUGCCUAUGUCGAAAGUUUCGACACGAAACCUUCAACGGACCUAAACUUACCGAAACUUCAGCGAUAAUCUCAGAAACUAUCAUGUUGCUAUUCUUUACUGCCAAUAUUCUAGCCUAUUAGGGAAACAAACGAUCGUUUAUCAGAUAUUCUCGCAACUCACAAAAUACCCAAUUCAAAGCAAGUUACGGAAACAAAAGAAAACCGCAAAAACGCUCACAUUGACAGUCACUUACUCGAUAGCCUUCUGACCAAUGACUAACAUCAAAAUUUCAAUUAAUCUCGUAUCCCUCAUGACUACGAUUAGCAAAAAUAAAAGAAAUGAAAAAGAACGAAGAAAGAAGAAUAGAAGUGACGAAGAAGAAAAGAGAAUAAAAACUAAAGAAGAAAAGAACUAACGUUAAUUAAAAUUUUAAAUUCCAAGCAAAUUUCUAGCAUUUGACAGAAAAAUAUUCCUUUUCGUCCUCUCCAAAACUCAAGCACAAGACCUUACAGAAUACAGACACUAAACCAGUGAACCAGCAGGCUCAUUCUUAACAGAAAUUCACAGUGAAUUGAACUUAACUAUGUAAUGCAUGAUUAAGAGUUGCUUUUAAAAUAAAAAAGCUUUUAACGACGCAACUCGAACUCCAAACCUUAAUUAUAAAAGUAGAGCACAGAACCAGAGAUACCAGAAUUUAAUUACUGCAGAUUCUCACAAUUAAAUUCUUAAAAUUUUGGAGUGUUACAAUUGAUCUAUUGGUUUAAUGCACACAUCUGAUAUAAAAGUGUAUGUGGCUCGAUAAACAAAGUGAUUGCACUUCAAAGUGCAUUACAUGAACAUGUGAUAAGUGUUUUUGAUCAUGAUAAACAUGAUAAGUGUAAGUGUGCAUAAACCAGAAAAUGAAUGUGUAAUAUGAAUAUAUUGGCCUUGUGAUCUCUUGAAAUCAUUGAAUAUAGUUGACAUGCCAUAGGUUUUGAGUAAUCAUAUAUGUGUUUUGAUAUUAAGACAUGUUGGAGGGAUAAAGGAAUGUGAUCUAAGCUCCAUUCUAAGGGACAUGUAUGGUGUGUUGGAGUGUGUUAGCUUAAUUCUACACUUACAUGGGACAUGUUAGACUAUAAGCUAUUGGUGAGAUGGAGAUCCAAGUAUCUGAUGCGUUGUAUUUCCAUACAUAAUUCAUAAUCACAAGAAGCCAAUGUAUCAACUUGAUUAAAUGAUUAAUGGUGAUAAGUGUUAUGUGCUUUCUAGUCUUGCUUUCAACCAUUGAUAUAGUGGUUUAUUGUAGCAUCUUGAGCACUCACUGAGCUUGUUUAAGCUCACUCUCUCUUAUGUUUAUUUUUGUAGAGAAAUAGCUUGUCUGGUGUGGUGAAGUGAGCAAGCUUGUGAUCCUAAGGCAAAGCUACUUGAUUGUGUAUAUGAGAUGGGUUUUUAAAAAAUAAAUGAUGGCAAUGUGGGAUUAGACUUUAAUUUUUGUUUUGGUUUGUAAAUGGACAUUCCAUGGACUGUUUAAGGACUUUUAUAACUGGUUUUUAGAUGCUUUUAUUGCUUGGAUUGUUGCAUGAAUGAUGCUAGAUGAAUGGUUAGGUUAUAUGUUUAUUUCCAUGCAUGUGCCUUAGUGAUUUGUGGUUAUAGAUGCUUAAAUGGAUGGAUGAAUGCUUGGACAAAUGCAAAAUGACCAAAUGGCAAGAUAUAGACCUAUGAUCUGGAUUGUAACAUCUCGAAAUAGGGCUUAAACGGAAUAGUGAUUGUGAAACCAUGAAUCCGAGAUAAAAAAAUUUAUUGUGAUUAACUUUUAUGAUUUACCAAUUGUUGGAUGCAUGUGUUAGAAUACCGAUAAGAAAUGUGACAACCCAAAUUAGACCCUGGUCGGAAUGUGGUUUCGAGACCACAUUACCGAGCCAAAAAUUUAUUUUCGUGUUUUAAUUGCAUAAAUUGUUGUGUGACAGUGAAUGCAUGAGAAAUUAAAUGCUUAAUAUUAGCAUUAGGAUUGUGAAUUCAUUCAAAAAGGACCUAGUUGACGAAGUUAGGAAAGAUGAUAGAUGAAUUAUAAGGAUUAAUUAAUAAUAGGUUGAGGAAGCAUGGUUUUGCAUGUCAAUUUGCCCAUAAAAUUUAUGGUGGCCGGCCAAGGAGUGAUAAUGCUCCACUCAUUCUAAUUUAAAAUGUUUCUUUGGUGAACAAAUGAUGGGAUUAAUAAUAGAAAAGGGAACAAAAAAAAAAUGGGUGUCAUACUUGCCAUCACCUAGCCGAAAAACCAAGAAAAAAAGAAGGGGAGAAAGGAACUUGGGAGGGAUUCGGCCAUUGCUUGCCUAGGGAGAGUGUUUGAUGUUGUGGCAUGAAAAAUGAGGGAGUUUGAAUGCUUAAUAAGGAGGGAAGAAGGAGUGUUCAUAUUUUCUUUCUUUUGCAAUUGUUCUAACUAGAGGAAGAAGGGGAAACAAGAUUCGGCCAAGGUGGUCCUUUAGACCAAGGUAUGUUUAAUGUUGUCUUAGAGAUGCAUGCAUGUUUUAAAUAGCCCAUGUUCAAACCUUGAAUCUUGUUGAUAACAUGAGCAAUCGGUCAUGAGAAAGUGUUCAAGGAAUGGUUGUUGUUCAUGUUAUUUGGAUGAGAAAUGGUGAGUUUUGUUGUUUCAUGUUAAAGUUAGGUGAAUGAUGAUAGAGGAGUGUUUGAACUAUAAAAAAAAAAAAAAGAAGAAGAAUCGGCUACCUUGUUAUGAGCUAGGGCCGAAUGUGAGUUUGGUUGUGUUUGAAUAUUACAUGCUUGGUAGAAUGGUGGAUGAAGGUGCCGAAUGUAUGUUGGAUUGAUAGAGUCUUCAAAUUGAUUUUAUGUGUGUAUGCAUGACCGAAUAUACGUGGUCACAUGAGUAAGGAAGUGAGUUAUUUGAUAUGUGGUAAAAGUUAAGUACUAAAUCGAAGGUUGCUAAAAAUUGCCAUUCCUUAGCCGAAUAUGUGCUUGAUCAAUGAAGGAAUUGUUGAAGAAUAUAGGUGAACUUGGUGAGAGCAAUCGGCCUAGUGUAUAAAUGAUAUGAAGAUUUUAGGAAAUUGUUUUGGUUAGGUGCAUGUAUGAUUAAGUAUAUUCGGCAAUAUACUUAAAGUGGGUACAUGAUAUUACAUUAUAAUUAUUGAGCUUAAGUAUAUGGAUAUGUGUAUAUGUGGUCAUAUAAUGACGUCUUGGUUUGAAAAUUUAAUGAUGUGUGAUUGCCGAAUGUGAUAAAUAAAUUCAUGUUAUUGGGUUAAAUAUUGAAUACUCUUAUUUGUAUUAUUUAAGCUCAAGAACCUAAAGGAGAGGCGUCCAACAAGGGGAAAUCGAAGGUCAUCGAGUAGCCGACUCGGAAUUAUUUUACCCAACAUAAAGUAAGUCAUUAAGCAUGUAGUGGGUAUUAUUUCAAAUGGUCAUAAUGUGUAUGUAUUGAUGCUGAUUGGAAUGAAUAAAUAUACAUAUAUAUAUAUGCAUGUACGUAUGUGAUGAUGAAAUUGUUGAAUGAAUGAAAAGAGGUAAGAUGUACUGAGUUGUUGAUCUCGGCACUAAACGUGCGGGAUAACCAUUUAUGACCAUGAGAUUGGCGCUAAGUGCGCGGGAUUAAAUUGUACAGCACUAAGUGUGCGAUUCGACUAUGUUGCACUAAGUGUGCGAAAUGAAUAUGAUGCACUAAGUGUGCGAAUUGACCAUGCGGCACUAAGUGUGCGAGUCUAACUAUGUAGCACUAAGUGUGCGAUUUGAUUACGUGGCACUAAGUGUGCGAGUUGAUUGUAUAGCACUGAGUGUGCGGGCUCAAUAUACAUUCGUGAAUCAUUAUGGACACUAUGUGUGCGACACUAUCGAGUCGAUCGCGGACAGCGGGUCGGGUAAGUGUCUUGAGCACGUGGUUAAUAGGUGCUAUGCUUAUACUUGGUGUUGAGCUCGGUAAGUUCGAACCUAUGUGACAUAUAUACUUGAAGUCACGUACAUAAAAUUUAUCCUAGGAUGGGUGAAAGGCCGUAUAGUCGUUUGAUUGUAACGAAAAUAAAUUGAUUUAUGAAAUUGCUUCAAUGUCCUAUUGAUGAGUAUAUAGAAUGUGAAUGCAUGAAUUGAUAUGAAAUUGAAUGGAGAGGUUGGAGGAACUAUGGUAUGGUUCGGUAUGGAUGGAGUAAAUUGUCUCGUUCUAUUUUGUUUCCUCUUGUGAUAAUGUUGUCGAUAGAUGGUAGUGCAUUGCUUAUGACUUACUGAGUUAUAAACUCACUCGAUGUUUCCUUGUCACCCAUUAUAGGUUGCUUGGACUCAUCUAUUUUUGCGGGGUCGGGCCGUCAUCGAAGUCAUCACACCGGAUAGCAAGUUUUGGUACUUUCUUCUUAGUGUGUUUAGAAGAUCAUUUUGGCAUGUAUAAGCUAGUACGUUGUGUUUGAAUUAUGGCAUGUAAACUUUAAGCCAUGCGAAAAUGGCACGAAUGUUCGAUUGAAUUGGAUCAAGGGUAGGCAUGAAAUGGACCUAGUUACUUUCGUAACAGAUGCUGGCAGCAGCAGUGUCAUGAGAUUGAAAAAUCACUAAAAAUAGUAGGAGUGGAAUUAAUUGAUGAAUAAAUUAUGUAAUCGAAGCUCGAUGAGUCUGCUUUCAUGAGGAGGUAACGAAAAGAUCAUAUGGGCAGUAUAUUAAGAGAUAAUCAGAUUUUAGUGGGACAGGGCCAGAACGGUUUCUGGAUUCCCUGCUCCGACUUUGGAAAUUCAUUAUAAAUUAACCAGAGAUAAUUAGGGGUCGUACCAUAUAUGUACAGAUUCCUCUCUGAGUCUAGUUUUCAUAGAAACAAACGCCAACAGUAUUGAAGCCCCGUGCAGGGAGAUAUCCAAGUCGUAAUGGGCAAAGGUCAGUGUAGUCGACCCCUGCAACUUGGGGGAAUUUGACUAAUAAACUGUACUAAUUGGCCCAACCAAAAAUUCUAGAAAAAAAUACAUAGAUGGACACAUGAGUCUAGUUUCUGGGAAAAAUUACGAAACUGAUUUUCAAGUUACGAAACUCAAGAUAUGAUUUUUAAAACGACUAGUACACAGAUUGGGCAGUGUCUGGAAAAUAAAUUUUGUAAGAGGUUAAAGCCAGUUAACACCUCGUGUUCGACUCCGGUGUCGGUUUCGGGUUCGGGGUGUUACAUUUUAUUGGUAUCAGAGCCAGGUUUAGGCGGUUCUAGGACUUCCAUAGCACGUAUGAGUCUAGCUAUACAUGCCAUAAUGUUAAUGUUUAAAAGGGUGAUGACUUCUGACGGUUGAAAUGUUUUUGUCUUGAUUAGUAAAUGGAUCCCGGUGAAGAAAGAACCCUAGCGGAUGACGUUGAGAGCGUAGCGGCUGCUCCUGCACAAGGGACGCCACCUGUUGAACCUCAGUCAUCUGCGAAUAAUCAAGGUGAGGGGGCUAAACAAGCCUUCUUUACCAUGAUGAAUGAGUUGGUCGCGCAAUAUGCCCGAGCCAACCCGGCUGUCCAACAAUUCCCAAAUUUGAAUAACCCACCCCAAGAGCCUGUAAGGCCAUCAGUCGCUGAUCCUGUGAGGCUGAGUAAGCCACCUGUAGACUUGAUUAGGAAGCGUGGGGCCGAGGAGUUCAAGGCCAUAGUAACUGAUGAUGCCGAAAGGGCCGAGUUCUGGCUUGAUAACACCAUUCGGGUGUUCGAUGAAUUGUCAUGCACACCCGAUGAAUGUCUAAAAUGUGCUGUAUCUUUGUUGCGAGACUCAGCCUACUAUUGGUGGAGGACCUUGAUUUCCAUAGUCCCGAACGAGCGAGUAACUUGGGACUUCUUUCAAACGGAAUUCCGGAAGAAAUUUAUUAGCCAACGGUUCAUUGACCAGAAGCGUAAGGAGUUCUUGGAACUCAAGCAAGGCCGUAUGAUUGUAUCUGAAUACGAACAUGAAUUCGUAAGACUUAGUAGGUAUGCCCGGGAGUGUGUAGCUGAUGAGGUUGCUAUGUGCAAAAGAUUUGAGGAAGGAUUGAACGAAGAUUUAAAGCUACUAAUGGGUAUUCUGGAAAUAAAGGAAUUCGUAACACUAGUCGAACGAGCCUGCAAGGCGGAGGAACUUGGAAAGGAGAAGAAGAAGGCUGAAUUUGAAGCUAGAGAUUAUCGUAAAAGAUCAACGGGUAAAGCUCCGUUCUCAGCUGUGAAGAAGUUCAGGGAGGACAUUAAUAAGUCGAGGGCGACUGCGGGAAUUUCCAUCAGGGCAAGACCAUCGAUGGGCUCCCGAGCUACUUCGGUAGCUAGUGUGGGCAAUAAUCGUCACGAGAAACCUGAAUGUCCCCAAUGUGGAAGACGACACCUAGGUGAAUGUUGGGGCAAGUCUACUAACAGGGCCUGUUACGGAUGCGGUUCGAAGGACCACUUCAUUAGAGAUUGCACGGAGCUGGAUGAGAAGAAUAAGAUUCAAGGUGCAAGACCUAGUGGAGUGACAUCUAGAGGUAGACCACCGAGAAUUUUAGGAGGCAGGGGUGGUAGUCAGAGGGGGGCCUCUGAUACGGCCGAUCGCGCCGAGAACCGUACUCCUGCUAGAGCGUAUGCCAUUCGCGCACGAGAGGAGGCAUCCUCCCCCGACGUCAUCACUGGUACCUUCACUCUCUUUGAUACUAAUGUGAUUGCAUUGAUUGACCCUGGCUCUACUCAUUCAUAUGUAUGCGAAACCUUAGCAUCCAGUAAGACUCUACCUGUUGAGUCUACUGAGCUAGUAAUUCGAGUGUCAAACCCUUUGGGUCAAUGCGUACUUGUUGAUAAAGUGUGUAAGAGAUGCCCUCUAAUAAUCCGAGAAUCCUGUUUUCCGGCCGAUCUGAUGCUUUUGCCGUUCGACGAGUUUGAUGUUAUUCUUGGUUUGGAUUGGUUAACCGCGCAUGAUGCGGUUGUGAAUUGCAAAAGCAAGACUAUCGAUUUAAGGUGCGCGAAUGACGAAAUAAUCCGAGUUGAGUCUGCGGACUUAAGGGGGUUGCCAGCUGUAAUAUCAGCAAUGUUGGCCCAGAAAUAUGUAAGGAAAGGGUGCGAAGCAUACCUCGCGUAUGUACUUGAUGACAAGGAGUUAGAAAAGAAACCCGAGUCGGUGCCGGUGGUUUGUGAAUACCCGGAUGUUUUUCCUGAAGAGUUACCGGGUUUGCCACCUGUUCGGGAAGUAGAGUUUGGAAUUGAGCUUGUACCUGGAACUACGCCAAUUUCGAUCGCUCCGUAUCGUAUGGCACUAACCGAGUUAAAAGAGUUGAAAGCUCAGUUGCAAGAAUUGACGGAUAGAGGCUUCGCUCGACCGAGUUUCUCACCUUGGGGUGCACCAGUAUUGUUCGUGAAAAAGAAGGACGGAACCAUGAGGUUGUGCAUUGACUAUCGUCAACUGAAUAAAGUGACGAUAAAGAAUAAGUAUCUGUUACCGCGUAUUGAUGAUCUGUUCGAUCAAUUAAAGGGAGCAUCGGUGUUUUCAAAGAUAGAUUUGAGAUCGGGUUAUUAUCAGUUGCGGAUUCGAGAUUCGGACGUACCCAAAACUGCUUUCAGAACGAGGUACGGUCACUACGAGUUCUUAGUGAUGCCGUUUGGGCUCACUAAUGCCCCUGCGGUGUUUAUGGAUCUGAUGAAUCGGAUCUUCAGGUCGUAUUUGGAUCGGUUUGUAGUUGUGUUUAUUGAUGACAUCUUGGUCUAUUCAAGAGAUGAGACCGAACAUGCUGAGCAUCUGAGGCAAGUGUUGCAAAUUUUGCGGGAUAAGCAGUUAUAUGCUAAGUUCAGUAAGUGUGAGUUCUGGUUAAGAGAGGUUAGCUUCUUGGGUCAUGUGGUAUCCGCAUCGGGUAUUCGAGUUGACCCGAGCAAAAUUUCAGCCAUACUUAACUGGAAGCCUCCGAGAAAUGUUACCGAGGUCCGGAGCUUUCUAGGGCUCGCCGGCUAUUACCGACGAUUUGUCAAAGGUUUCUCGAUGAUAGCCACACCAAUGACGAAGCUACUUCAGAAGGAUGUUAAGUUCGAAUGGACGGAGAAAUGUCAGAAAAGCUUCGAUCAACUGAAAACUCAUCUGACUGAAGCUCCAAUUUUGGUGCAACCCGAAUCGGGUAAAGAGUUUGUUGUUUAUAGUGACGCAUCCCUACUCGGGUUGGGUUGCGUAUUGAUGCAAGAAGGUCGAGUUGUGGCCUAUGCGUCGAGACAAUUGAAGCCACACGAAAGAAAUUAUCCGACCCAUGAUCUCGAACUAGCCGCCAUUGUGUUUGCAUUGAAAAUAUGGCGACAUUAUUUGUUUGGUGAGAAGUGCCAUGUGUUUUCGGAUCACAAAAGUCUCAAAUAUUUGAUGACUCAACGAGACUUGAAUCUGCGACAAAGACGUUGGCUUGAGUUGUUGAAAGAUUACGAGCUUGUCAUUGAUUACCAUCCGGGAAAGGCUAAUGUGGUUGCGGACGCCUUAAGCUGGAAAUCACUGUUUGCUUUGCGAGCGAUGAAUGUACACUUGUCUGUUCUACCUGACAAUGUGUUAGUAGCUGAAUUAAAAGCCAAACCAUUAUUGACUCAUCAAAUUCGUGAAGCUCAGAAAGUCGAUGAUGAAUUGGUUGCAAAACGAGCUGAGUGUGUUCCGAACAAGGAAUCGAAGUUUCAGAUUGAUGAUGAUGGUUGUUUGAGGUUUAGAAGUCGUUUGUGCGUUCCAAGGAAUUCGGAACUCAUUCCGAUGAUUCUGAACGAAGCCCAUUGUAGCCGAAUGUCAAUUCACCCGGGAGCACGAAAAUGUACAACGACUUGAAACGUCAGUUUUGGUGGCAUGGUAUGAAGCGAGACAUCUCCGACUUUGUUUCGAGAUGUUUAAUAUGUCAACAAGUGAAAGCGGAACAUCAAGUGCCUUCAGGGUUACUUCAGCCGAUCAUGAUACCCGAGUGGAAAUGGGACCGAGUCACAAUGGACUUUGUGUCCGGACUGCCAUUGUCCGCAAGUAAGAAGGAUGCGAUUUGGGUUGUUGUUGAUAGGUUGACUAAGUCGGCUCACUUUAUCCCCGUGCGUACGGAUUUUUCAUUGGAUAAACUAGCCGAAUUGUAUGUUUCUCAGAUUGUGAGAUUACAUGGAGUACCUAUUUCUAUCGUGUCGGAUAGAGAUCCGAGAUUCACCUCGCGAUUUUGGAAGAAAUUGCAAGAAGCUUUGGGUACCCAGCUGCAUUUUAGCACCGCUUUUCAUCCCCAAACCGAUGGUCAAUCCGAGCGGAUAAUUCAGAUACUCGAGGAUAUGCUGAGAUGCUGCAUCCUUGAGUUUAGUGGUUCAUGGGAACGGUAUGUACCUUUGAUUGAAUUCGCUUACAACAAUAGUUUUCAAUCAAGUAUUAAGAUGGCACCUUACGAGGCUUUGUACGGUCGUAAAUGCCGUACACCAUUGUUUUGGACCGAGCUCGGUGAAAGUAAAAUUUUCAGAGUUGAUUUGAUUAAAGAUGCCGAACAGAAAGUAAAGGUAAUCCGUGAAAGUCUGAAGGUAGCCACAGAUCGUCAAAAAUCGUAUGCGGAUCUGAAACGGAAGGACAUUGAAUAUCAGGUGGGAGAUAAAGUGUUCCUAAAAGUUUCGCCUUGGAAAAAGGUACUCAGGUUUGGCCGUAAAGGCAAGUUGAGCCCGAGAUUCAUUGGGCCGUACGAAAUUUCCGAACGAGUGGGGCCGGUUGCAUAUAGAUUGAUUUUGCCUCCUGAACUUGAAAAGAUUCACGACGUCUUUCAUGUUUCGAUGCUUCGGCGCUAUAGAUCUGAUCCUUCGCACAUAAUUAGUCCGUCGGAGGUUGAAAUUCAGGCUGAUAUGAGCUAUGAAGAAGAACUGAUUCGUAUUCUAACUCGUGAAGUGAAAGAGUUGCGAAAUAAAAGGGUUCCGUUGGUUAAGGUGUUGUGGCUUAAACACGGGAUCGAGGAAGCAACCUGGGAACCCGAGAGCUCGAUGAAAGAACAAUACCCAAACCUAUUUACCGGUAAGAUUUUCGGGGACAAAAAUUUCUUAUGUGGGGGAGAGUUGUGACAACCCAAAUUAGACCCUGGUCGGAAUGUGGUUUCGAGACCACAUUACCGAGCCAAAAAUUUAUUUUCGUGUUUUAAUUACAUAAAUUGUUGUGUGACAGUGAAUGCAUGAGAAAUUAAAUGCUUAAUAUUAGCAUUAGGAUUGUGAAUUCAUUCAAAAAGGACCUAGUUGACGAAGUUAGGAAAGAUGAUAGAUGAAUUAUAAGGAUUAAUUAAUAAUAGGUUGAGGAAGCAUGGUUUUGCAUGUCAAUUUGCCCAUAAAAUUUAUGGUGGCCGGCCAAGGAGUGAUAAUGCUCCACUCAUUCUAAUUUAAAAUGUUUCUUUGGUGAACAAAUGAUGGGAUUAAUAAUAGAAAAGGGAACAAAAAAAAAAUGGGUGUCAUACUUGCCAUCACCUAGCCGAAAAACCAAGAAAAAAAGAAGGGGAGAAAGGAACUUGGGAGGGAUUCGGCCAUUGCUUGCCUAGGGAGAGUGUUUGAUGUUGUGGCAUGAAAAAUGAGGGAGUUUGAAUGCUUAAUAAGGAGGGAAGAAGGAGUGUUCAUAUUUUCUUUCUUUUGCAAUUGUUCUAACUAGAGGAAGAAGGGGAAACAAGAUUCGGCCAAGGUGGUCCUUUAGACCAAGGUAUGUUUAAUGUUGUCUUAGAGAUGCAUGCAUGUUUUAAAUAGCCCAUGUUCAAACCUUGAAUCUUGUUGAUAACAUGAGCAAUCGGUCAUGAGAAAGUGUUCAAGGAAUGGUUGUUGUUCAUGUUAUUUGGAUGAGAAAUGGUGAGUUUUGUUGUUUCAUGUUAAAGUUAGGUGAAUGAUGAUAGAGGAGUGUUUGAACUAUAAAAAAAAAAAAGAAGAAGAAUCGGCUACCUUGUUAUGAGCUAGGGCCGAAUGUGAGUUUGGUUGUGUUUGAAUAUUACAUGCUUGGUAGAAUGGUGGAUGAAUGUGCCGAAUGUAUGUUGGAUUGAUAGAGUCUUCAAAUUGAUUUUAUGUGUGUAUGCAUGACCGAAUAUACGUGGUCACAUGAGUAAGGAAGUGAGUUAUUUGAUAUGUGGUAAAAGUUAAGUACUAAAUCGAAGGUUGCUAAAAAUUGCCAUUCCUUAGCCGAAUAUGUGCUUGAUCAAUGAAGGAAUUGUUGAAGAAUAUAGGUGAACUUGGUGAGAGCAAUCGGCCUAGUGUAUAAAUGAUAUGAAGAUUUUAGGAAAUUGUUUUUGUUAGGUGCAUGUAUGAUUAAGUAUAUUCGGCAAUAUACUUAAAGUGGGUACAUGAUAUUACAUUAUAAUUAUUGAGCUUAAGUAUAUGGAUAUGUGUAUAUGUGGUCAUAUAAUGACGUCUUGGUUUGAAAAUUUAAUGAUGUGUGAUUGCCGAAUGUGAUAAAUAAAUUCAUGUUAUUGGGUUAAAUAUUGAAUACUCUUAUUUGUAUUAUUUAAGCUCAAGAACCUAAAGGAGAGGCGUCCAACAAGGGGAAAUCGAAGGUCAUCGAGUAGCCGACUCGGAAUUAUUUUACCCAACAUAAAGUAAGUCAUUAAGCAUGUAGUGGGUAUUAUUUCAAAUGGUCAUAAUGUGUAUGUAUUGAUGCUGAUUGGAAUGAAUAAAUAUACAUAUAUAUAUAUGCAUGUACGUAUGUGAUGAUGAAAUUGUUGAAUGAAUGAAAAGAGGUAAGAUGUACUGAGUUGUUGAUCUCGGCACUAAACGUGCGGGAUAACCAUUUAUGACCAUGAGAUUGGCGCUAAGUGCGCGGGAUUAAAUUGUACAGCACUAAGUGUGCGAUUCGACUAUGUUGCACUAAGUGUGCGAAAUGAAUAUGAUGCACUAAGUGUGCGAAUUGACCAUGCGGCACUAAGUGUGCGAGUCUAACUAUGUAGCACUAAGUGUGCGAUUUGAUUACGUGGCACUAAGUGUGCGAGUUGAUUGUAUAGCACUGAGUGUGCGGGCUCAAUAUACAUUCGUGAAUCAUUAUGGACACUAUGUGUGCGACACUAUCGAGUCGAUCGCGGACAGCGGGUCGGGUAAGUGUCUUGAGCACGUGGUUAAUAGGUGCUAUGCUUAUACUUGGUGUUGAGCUCGGUAAGUUCGAACCUAUGUGACAUAUAUACUUGAAGUCACGUACAUAAAAUUUAUCCUAGGAUGGGUGAAAGGCCGUAUAGUCGUUUGAUUGUAACGAAAAUAAAUUGAUUUAUGAAAUUGCUUCAAUGUCCUAUUGAUGAGUAUAUAGAAUGUGAAUGCAUGAAUUGAUAUGAAAUUGAAUGGAGAGGUUGGAGGAACUAUGGUAUGGUUCGGUAUGGAUGGAGUAAAUUGUCUCGUUCUAUUUUGUUUCCUCUUGUGAUAAUGUUGUCGAUAGAUGGUAGUGCAUUGCUUAUGACUUACUGAGUUAUAAACUCACUCGAUGUUUCCUUGUCACCCAUUAUAGGUUGCUUGGACUCAUCUAUUUUUGCGGGGUCGGGCCGUCAUCGAAGUCAUCACACCGGAUAGCAAGUUUUGGUACUUUCUUCUUAGUGUGUUUAGAAGAUCAUUUUGGCAUGUAUAAGCUAGUACGUUGUGUUUGAAUUAUGGCAUGUAAACUUUAAGCCAUGCGAAAAUGGCACGAAUGUUCGAUUGAAUUGGAUCAAGGGUAGGCAUGAAAUGGACCUAGUUACUUUCGUAACAGAUGCUGGCAGCAGCAGUGUCAUGAGAUUGAAAAAUCACUAAAAAUAGUAGGAGUGGAAUUAAUUGAUGAAUAAAUUAUGUAAUCGAAGCUCGAUGAGUCUGCUUUCAUGAGGAGUUAACGAAAAGAUCAUAUGGGCAGUAUAUUAAGAGAUAAUCAGAUUUUAGUGGGACAGGGCCAGAACGGUUUCUGGAUUCCCUGCUCCGACUUUGGAAAUUCAUUAUAAAUUAACCAGAGAUAAUUAGGGGUCGUACCAUAUAUGUACAGAUUCCUCUCUGAGUCUAGUUUUCAUAGAAACAAACGCCAACAGUAUUGAAGCCCCGUGCAGGGAGAUAUCCAAGUCGUAAUGGGCAAAGGUCAGUGUAGUCGACCCCUGCAACUUGGGGGACUUUGACUAAUAAACUGUACUAAUUGGCCCAACCAAAAAUUCUAGAAAAAAAUAAA
rnacentral:lncRNA from 1 species